rnacentral:rRNA from 1 species
UACAGAGGUCUCAAGCGUUGUUCGGAUUCAUUGGGCGUAAAGGGCGCGUAGGCGGCUUUGUAAGUCGGGGGUGAAAGCCUGUGGCUCAACCACAGAAUUGCCUCGAUACUGCAUGGCUUGAGACCGGAAGAGGUUAGUGGAACUGCGAGUGUAGAGGUGAAAUUCGUAGAUAUUCGCAAGAACACCAGUGGCGAAGGCGGCUGACUGGUCCGGUUCUGACGCUGAGGCGCGGAAAAGCGUGGGGAGCAAACAGG